GCAGAGAAGAGAUUAUUAAUAAUAGCAGCAGCAGCUCACUGAGAGAUGGACAGACGUGUGUUCGUGUUGCUCUGUCUGCUGACGGCUGUGAGAUCACAAGGUAGUACUCCACCGGCAGAGAUCACUGUAAAUGCACAGGACAUGGUUCUGACAUGUAAAAAUGGAAAAUUUGGUGACAAAGAUUCAAUAAAGAUGAAUUAUGAUAAUUCUGGAGUCCACCAGUGUAAACCUGAAAAUGAUGAGGAGUGUACUGAUGCAACCUGUGCAACAGCUCUAAUAAAAAUCCUGAGUGAGUAAGAACCUGAUCCAGCUGGACUCGAUGGCUCUGGUCAGUGUUAUCGUGGGGGAUAUUUUAGUGACCGCUCUGAUCGGAUGGGCUAUUUACAUCGUCUGCGCUCAACCCACAGCCAGAGGCGGCUAUCAGGGGAAUAAAGCCUCGGACAGACAGGCUCUGAUCAAUAAUCACGCUCCAUCAGGAGGAGACACUUAUCAGCCGCUGAACACGCGUACGGAUGAGUACAGCACUCUACACGCGCAGCGCAAACAGAAGAACAAGCAGUCCGUCUGACCUGAAGAUAUUAGCAGAAGAAGCAGACAACGGCUCAUCUUUAAACCUGUCUUUGAUUUCACGCUCCUGUAAAUGUAGGUGUCUGUCGCUUGUGUUGAUGCUUCAAAUAAAUAAAGUCUUUCUUUACUAUC
ensembl:lncRNA